ACACUCAAGUGCGGUCACACAUCCCAGUCAUCAGCGCCGGAAUCAAAAGGAGACAAAAAGAGGAUUGGCCAUAUGAUUGCGUACUAAAAAGAUCUGUGAGCACUUACAGUAGAUUAGCUUUUGAGUUACUCCUUUGCAUGUCAAAGGUCUCUAAUUAUGAUCAAAUAGUCAUGUAUUUUUUUUUGUCACACAAGUAUAAGGGAGAUGUACGAAUAGAAGCCCUCUGACUUGAGCAUGAUGAGCAGGGAUCCCCAGCCCAGGAGCACAGCGGAGAAAAGCAGGCUCUCGACGACUGCCGUCACCGCCAUCCACCAACGGCGGGCGAAGGCCGUGGCCAAAGUGGGCGCCAUCCCAGCCGAGUGGGAGAGGAUGCUUCACUUGUCUGGCAGGAGAGGGGGAAGGGAGGCUACAGAUGCCUGAAUGAUUAAAAACAAGGGGAGCCUAAUGAUAAACAGCACCAGCACACAACAGCUGAGCGCCGUGUGGGCGAGUGCAACCCGUCCGCACGCAAAAGAAGCCCCGCCCUCGAGAGAUCUGAUUGGGACGUGCUGAAAACAGCCCUUCGGCGAUUGGCUGUAGAUGACAUACGAAACGAAGCAGCUGCACGUGAGGAUGCUGCAGGAAAAAUAUUUUACCUUUCCAUCAAAAUAGUUUUCCUUGCACACUAUCAACAACAAAAGUAAUCUAAUCACCUCGACUUUAAAUUAAAUGAACCGCACAAGACAAUUUUGUCGACUGUUUGAUCUAGACAGUGAAUACUUGGUGUCUAAUCGAUGGGAUAUGAAUAUAACACCAGCUCCAUCCGGUUUGAACCAGCGCGGCGCGAGAAUGUUGUUGGGGGUUAGGCAUGAUAAUCAUGACGUUACUUGUUUGCCAUUUUUGGAACGUAAACAAGAACAUUGUGUGGCUCUAAAUAAGAUAAGCACAGGACAGCUCACUUUGACGCUUGAAUUGCCUCGUUCGUUGUAUUAGUGACAGAAAA